CACGUAGGGGCCAAGCGUUGUCCGUAUUUAUUGGGCGUAAAGAGCUCGUAGGCGGCUUCGUAAGUCGGGUGUGAGAACCCCAGGCUCAACCUGGGGACGCCACCCGAUACUGCGAUGGCUAGAGUCCGGUAGGGGAGCGCGGAAUUCCUGGUGUAGCGGUGAAAUGCGCAGAUAUCAGGAGGAACACCGGUGGCGAAGGCGGGACUCUGGGCCGAUACUGACGCUGAGGAGCGAAAGCGUGGGGAGCGAACAGG
rnacentral:rRNA from 1 species